UACGUAGGGUGCAAGCGUUGUCCGGAAUUAUUGGGCGUAAAGAGCUCGUAGGCGGUCUGUCGCGUCUGCUGUGAAAACUCAGGGCUUAACCCUGAGCUUGCAGUGGGUACGGGCAGACUAGAGUGCGGUAGGGGAGACUGGAAUUCCUGGUGUAGCGGUGAAAUGCGCAGAUAUCAGGAGGGAACACCGGUGGGCGAAGGCGGGUCUCUGGGCCGUAACUGACGCUGGAGGAGCGGAAAGCAUGGGGGAGCGAACAGG
rnacentral:rRNA from 1 species